GACGAACCGUGCGAACGUUGUUCGGAAUCACUGGGCUUAAAGGGCGCGUAGGCGGGCCGCAUAGUCGGGGGUGAAAUCGUCCGGCCCAACCGGACACGGGCCCCCGAUACUGGCGGCCUCGAGGGGGAUAGGGGCGCGUGGAACUUCCGGUGGAGCGGUGAAAUGCGUAGAUAUCGGAAGGAACGCCGGUGGCGAAAGCGACGCGCUGGAUCCCAUCUGACGCUGAGGCGCGAAAGCCAGGGGAGCGAACGGG
rnacentral:rRNA from 1 species